rnacentral:rRNA from 1 species
CCUACGGGACGCAGCAGUGAGGAAUAUUGGUCAAUGGGCGGGAGCCUGAACCAGCCAAGCCGCGUGAGGGAAGAAGGUACAGCGUAUCGUAAACCUCUUUUGUCAGGGAACAAAGGCGGGGACUCGUCCCCGGAUGAGGGUACCUGAAGAACAAGCAUCGGCUAACUCCGUGCCAGCAGCCGCGGUAAUACGGAGGAGGCGAGCGUUAUCCGGAUUUAUUGGGUUAAAAGGGUGCGCAGGCGGCCUGUUAAGUCAGCGGUAAAAGCCCGGGGCUCAACCCCGGCGAGCCGUUGAAACUGGCGGGCUGGAGUUGGAGAGAAGUAGGCGGAAUGCGCGGUGUAGGAGUGAAAUCCGUAGAUAUCUGGAGGAACAUCAGUGGCGAAGGCGACUAGCUGGCACAUAACUGACGCUGAGGAGCGAAAGCGUGGGUAGCAAACAGGAUUAGAUACCCUUGUAGUC